UUUUAAAAAUUAAUAUUUCAUUAAAAAUAGAUACCAACAUUACAUUAAUUAAAAUAAAAUAAAAUAUUUAAAACAUUACAUUGAUUAAAAUAAAAUAAAAUACUUAAUACAAAAUUAAAUUUAAACAAAAAGCUCAACAAAAAUUAAAUAGGACAACAAAAUUAAAUACAAAAAGCCCACACAAAUUGAACAAAAAUAGGGCAACUCUCUCUCCUCUUUCUCAACCUCAAGGAGCGCCUUCUUC
rnacentral:lncRNA from 1 species